UGAUGAUCUUGCUAACAUUGAUGAUUGGCUUAUUGGUUUGACUUUAAGUUCACUACCACACUUUGUUGUGUCACCAUUUUCUGAUUCACUGUCUAUGCUCUGAGUUUUCUUCUCCAUUGAUGGCUUCUGUAUUAGAUCAUUCAGCUUCUGCUGUUAUAAUAAUAAUUAACUAUAUGUAUACCAUUUUAUUUGUAUAUUUAUAGAUAAUUAACAAAGAUGAGCUAUGGCUUGUAGGAGAUUGGCCCUUAUCAUUGUUUUUACUGUUAUGCUUUCUAUUACAUUUGCUGGAUUCUGGAAAAGGUGCAAUUCCCUUGGAGAAUUCCAAAAACACAUACAAGAUCAAAUCUGAACUGCAGUAUGACGUGAAAAGUUAUUGCAUGGAGUACUAUUUUGAAACCAAAACUGGUGCUAAUUU